AAAUUGAAGAGUUUGAUCAUGGCUCAGAUUGAACGCUGGCGGCAGGCCUAACACAUGCAAGUCGAACGGUAACAGGAAGAAGCUUGCUUCUUUGCUGACGAGUGGCGGACGGGUGAGUAAUGUCUGGGAAACUGCCUGAUGGAGGGGGAUAACUACUGGAAACGGUAGCUAAUACCGCAUAACGUCGCAAGACCAAAGAGGGGGACCUUCGGGCCUCUUGCCAUCGGAUGUGCCCAGAUGGGAUUAGCUAGUAGGUGGGGUAACGGCUCACCUAGGCGACGAUCCCUAGCUGGUCUGAGAGGAUGACCAGCCACACUGGAACUGAGACACGGUCCAGACUCCUACGGGAGGCAGCAGUGGGGAAUAUUGCACAAUGGGCGCAAGCCUGAUGCAGCCAUGCCGUGUGUAUGAAGAAGGCCUUCGGGUUGUAAAGUACUUUCAGCGGGGAGGAAGGGAGUAAAGUUAAUACCUUUGCUCAUUGACGUUACCCGCAGAAGAAGCACCGGCUAACUCCGUGCCAGCAGCCGCGGUAAUACGGAGGGUGCAAGCGUUAAUCGGAAUUACUGGGCGUAAAGCGCACGCAGGCGGUUUGUUAAGUCAGAUGUGAAAUCCCCGGGCUCAACCUGGGAACUGCAUCUGAUACUGGCAAGCUUGAGUCUCGUAGAGGGGGGUAGAAUUCCAGGUGUAGCGGUGAAAUGCGUAG
rnacentral:rRNA from 1 species